rnacentral:lncRNA from 1 species
GGCAGAAAACCAGAUUCCUUAGGGAAAGGAAGGUCUCCCAGACGGCAGGAGCGGCAGGCCUUAGGGGCAGCCGCAGGGGCUCGGGAGUCUGAACAUACCCGGUUUGAAUUCAGACUCUGGCACGCCCCAUGCGAUCAUAACAUAGUGCUGCACGUCUCAAGCCACCUAUAAAAACGGGGACAAUAACAAUAUCUGCCUCGGGGUUAAUGGUGAGGACUGACUGUGUGUGUCUCGCUCAGGACCAGGAGCAACAAAUGUUGGCUUCUUCCCCGGCAAAGACCCGCGCUUUCUCCUGGGCUCCGGGUUCCCGGGGUGGGGGUGGGCGCAGUCCCGAGGGCCCCAGGCAGUGGCGCAGUGGUUAGACCCCAGCCUCUGGAGUCGGCCUCGGUUCAGAUUCUGGUUCUACCCUUCUCCUCUGUGGCGAACCAACCCUCCGAGCUCUAGUUUACUCGUGUGAAAUGGACUAGCCAAAAUUGGGAUUUUUUUUUUUUUUUAGGAUUAGAUGUGUCGGUCCAUAGACGUUGCUGGCCACAUAGUUAAGUGGUGCGUUCACUCACUGGGCAUUGAUGGAGCGCCUACUACGUGCCAGGCCUGUUUUACGCGCCGGGGGCCCAGAGGCGCCCAGCCGGACUGCCUUCCCUGUUGUUAGUUUGUAACUUUCGCUCCGGCCCCCGCAGCCUCGCGCCUGCCUUCCCUCCACUGUCCUCAGCCAAGGUGUAGUAAAGCGUCUCCGAACGCGGCGCGACCCUCGCCCACGCCCGCUCGCGGGGGGACCGCACCGCCCCAGGGGUCCUCGCUAGGGGUUCCCGGAGAAGGGGUGGGAGAUGGGGGUGCGGGGGGGCACAGGAGCGCGGGCCAGCACCCAGACCUGCUCGGUACCGGGGACCCAGACCCGAGGAUGCCGGGCGGCCAAGGCCCCGCUACCCUGGCCGGCUCCGGGCGGAGGAAGAAGAGGAGGCGCCCAGACUGGAUACCCGCCUGG